GCGGGAAUAGCUCAAUUGGUAGAGCACGACCUUGCCAAGGUCGGGGUCGCGAGUUCGAGUCUCGUUUCCCGCUCCA
rnacentral:tRNA from 3 species